rnacentral:rRNA from 1 species
AUUGAACGCUGGCGGCAUGCCUAAUACAUGCAAGUCGAACGGAGAUAGGGGCAACCUUAUUUCAGUGGCGGACGGGUGAGGAAUGCGUCGGAAUCUGCCCUAUGGUGGGGGAUAACACAGGGAAACUUGUGCUAAUACCGCAUAAUGUCGAGAGACCAAAGCAGGGGACCGCAAGGCCUUGCGCGAUAGGAUGAGCCGACGCCCGAUUAGCUUGUUGGUAGGGUAAUGGCCUACCAAGGCGACGAUCGGUAGCUGGUCUGAGAGGAUGAUCAGCCACACUGGGACUGAGACACGGCCCAGACUCCUACGGGAGGCAGCAGUGGGGAAUCUUAGACAAUGGGCGCAAGCCUGAUCUAGCCAUGCCGCGUGAGCGAUGAAGGCCUUAGGGUUGUAAAGCUCUUUCAGUGGGGAAAAUAAUGACUGUACCCACAGAAGAAGCCCCGGCUAACUCCGUGCCAGCAGCCGCAGUAAAGUACAGUGUCC